ACACGGAGGGCGCAAGCGUUGUUCGGAAUCACUGGGCGUAAAGCGGGUGUAGGCGGUCUAGCAAGUCAGAUGUGAAAGCCCACGGCUCAACCGUGGAAGUGCAUCUGAAACUGCUAGACUUGAGUGCCGGAGAGGGAAGUGGAAUUCCUGGUGUAGGGGUGAAAUCCGUAGAUAUCAGGAGGAACACCGGUGGCGAAGGCGACUUCCUGGACGGCCACUGACGCUGAGACCCGAAAGCGUGGGGAGCAAACAGGAUUAGAAACCCUAGUAGUCC
rnacentral:rRNA from 1 species